AACAAACUCUAACUCUAUGUACGAUUUAUGUGUUGUAUGUUUGCUUUCAGUAUUAAAAGUAAAAUAACUCUUUACACAGAAUGUCUCCUUUCAUGGUCUAACUAUAUUUGCAGUGGUAAAUAAGUAUUCCUCACUCAAGUAAAAGUAUUAGUACUACAAUGAACAAAUUCUACAUUACAAUGAAAAGUUCUGUAUUCAAAAUAAAGAAAAAGUUGUGACUAAAAAGGUCUGGGAUUUCACAAUAGAAGUAAAGCGUCUAGCUCAGGAAGUAAGACCACAAAGUUUUUAAGUUUUGAGGUCUUAGGUUUGAUCUCCAGGAGUUGUGGAGAAUUUUGGAGCACCAACACCCAAAGUAAACACUCAGAGGCAUAAAGAAAUAAAAUUCAAAUGUCUAUCCAGAAGCCUGUUUUAAAAUUCUGAGGAUGUAGGCACAGUCUUGUCAUAAAUCAAGGAGUCUCAUGCCCCAUGUCUGAGCCAUGGCUGUCCGCCAGAUCUUAUAAUACAUCUCUGUCUUAACGGCGGACGAAUUUUAAGACCAAUCAGAGGCGGUUGCUUGGCGGACCACAAUGGCCAAUCAGCGUCUUUAUGUAAAUAUUAGCUGACGUAUGUCGUCAUUAGUCGCGACGUCCCUCGUCAUUGGCCAUGGCCAUCUGGGAGGGGCGCAGAGAGGCGGAGAAAGGAAGUAGGAAAACACAUUUAAACCACGUUUGAAGCAUUUGUUCUGUUUGCUAGUACUGUGAGGAAUACGUCGCUACAGGAGAGGCUUCGAUGCUAAAGCAAACUCUGGAGCUGCUUUUUGUAGUUAAUGAAGCGGUCUAGAUGCUAAAACAAACUCUGGAGCUGCUUUUUGUAGUUAAUGAAGCGGUCUAGAUGCUAAAACAAACUCUGGAGCUGCUUUCUGUAGUUAAUGAAGCGGUCUAGAUGCUAAAGCAAGCGUUUUUUUUUUUUUUUUUAUCGAACACGAGUGAGACUCGACGCCGAACACACCUGCAGCGCGAAGGUUUACUGGUUCAGCUGCUGCAGCCUGGACAGAAACACCAGCUCUCAGCUGACAAACCAAACAGGUGUCACCACUUCGUCCACGAUCACAGAGAGUUUUUGUACAAUGAAGUAGUUCUUUGAGACCAGGACAGAGGCCUCCAGGAUUCAAACUUCAACCAUUAAAGCACAGAGAGAAGAGACACAGACAUCAAGACAUUUCCAGAAGGUCUUCAGCUGCUGCUGUCACCUCCUCCUGCAGAGACAAGAAUACCUGUUAAUCAUAGAAACUGAUCAGUAACUCAGAAUAUUUUUAUGACAUUUUUUUGAUGUUUUUAAUUUCUUACUAAGACAAUGUUUUUUUUAAUGCCGUACUAUACUGUGGCAACUUUUGUCAGUUUUUGACAUCUUAUACUAUGACAUGCUAUUUAAGAGAAAGGAACUAACUUAAAGUAGCCAUCUUUCCUCUGUUUUCCAGUUACACCUGUACACAGUGUUUGUGGGAUAGGUUAGAUUUUCAAAUCCAAUCUAUUACUGUGUACAUAGUCCUGUUUCUACUGUUCACACUGAGUAUAAUUUUUGUAUAUUAUCUUGUAUGAUAUAAUGCACUUUUCUAUUUUUUUUGUUGCAACACUGAAUUUCCCUUUUGUGGGACUGACAAGGAUUAUCUUACUCAAAUAAAUACUGCUGAACACUGA